UGGCUCCAGCACGUCGCCUUCGGGACACCUGUGCCCCUGUGAGAACCAGCAUUCCGGGACUCGGGGUCAGCGCUUCGGCCUUCCGUCCUCUCGUGCCCCAACAAUCCCCUUUCAACUAUUUUUUCUAGAUUCAUCUUUAAAAUAAGAGAGACAGCAAGAGAAGAACAACUGAAGGGAGAGGGGAGAAGGGAGGUGACUUAGAAGGGAGGAAAGAAGGAAAAAGUGAAAGGAAGAAAAGAAAGGAAGGAAGCAACGUCCUUGCAUUUUAAAUGCUAAGGGCAGUGAGUAUAAGAGGAAGCUCCUGACAAAAGAGGAGGACGAGAGAAGUGACAAGUACAGCCUGCCAGACAGGAAAGGACACCUAAGCACACGUGCUGUCACUUGUGUAUGGAACACGCUGCUGUCGUGUGUGAAGACUGCCUUAGGGGUGGUGAUUGAAGCAAAGGCUACCUCUGUGCAGAGUUUUGUUUGUGUUUUCAUUGUAGU